rnacentral:rRNA from 1 species
GGGUUGUGAGGUUAAGCGACUAAGCGUACACGGUGGAUGCCCUGGCAGUCAGAGGCGAUGAAGGACGUGCUAAUCUGCGAAAAGCGUCGGUAAGGUGAUAUGAACCGUUAUAGCCGGCGAUGUCCGAAUGGGGAAACCCAGUGCAAUUCGUUGCACUAUCGUUAACUGAAUACAUAGGUUAACGAGGCGAACCGGGGGAACUGAAACAUCUAAGUACCCCGAGGAAAAGAAAUCAACCGAGAUUCCCCCAGUAGCGGCGAGCGAACGGGGAGCAGCCCAGAGUCUGAAUCAGCUUGUGUGUUAGUGGAACGGUCUGGAAAGUCCGACGGUACAGGGUGAUAGUCCCGUACACCAAAAUGCACAGGCUGUGAACUCGAAGAGUAGGGCGGGACACGUGGUAUCCUGUCUGAAUAUGGGGGGACCAUCCUCCAAGGCUAAAUACUCCUGACUGACCGAUAGUGAACCAGUACCGUGAGGGAAAGGCGAAAAGAACCCCGGCGAGGGGAGUGAAAAAGAACCUGAAACCGUGUACGUACAAGCAGUGGGAGCACCUUCGGGUGUGACUGCGUACCUUUUGUAUAAUGGGUCAGCGACUUAUAUUCUGUAGCAAGGUUAACCGUAUAGGGGAGCCGCAGGGAAACCGAGUCUUAACUGGGCGUUAAGUUGCAGGGUAUAGACCCGAAACCCGGUGAUCUAGCCAUGGGCAGGUUGAAGGUUGGGUAACACUAACUGGAGGACCGAACCGACUAAUGUUGAAAAAUUAGCGGAUGACUUGUGGCUGGGGGUGAAAGGCCAAUCAAACCGGGAGAUAGCUGGUUCUCCCCGAAAGCUAUUUAGGUAGCGCCUCGUGAACUCAUCUUCGGGGGUAGAGCACUGUUUCGGCUAGGGGGUCAUCCCGACUUACCAACCCGAUGCAAACUACGAAUACCGAAGAAUGUUAUCACGGGAGACACACGGCGGGUGCUAACGUCCGUCGUGAAGAGGGAAACAACCCAGACCGCCAGCUAAGGUCCCAAAGUCAUGGUUAAGUGGGAAACGAUGUGGGAAGGCACAGACAGCCAGGAUGUUGGCUUAGAAGCAGCCAUCAUUUAAAGAAAGCGUAAUAGCUCACUGGUCGAGUCGGCCUGCGCGGAAGAUGUAACGGGGCUAAACCAUGCACCGAAGCUGCGGCAGCGACACUAUGUGUUGUUGGGUAGGGGAGCGUUCUGUAAGCCUGCGAAGGUGUGCUGUGAGGCAUGCUGGAGGUAUCAGAAGUGCGAAUGCUGACAUAAGUAACGAUAAAGCGGGUGAAAAGCCCGCUCGCCGGAAGACCAAGGGUUCCUGUCCAACGUUAAUCGGGGCAGGGUGAGUCGACCCCUAAGGCGAGGCCGAAAGGCGUAGUCGAUGGGAAACAGGUUAAUAUUCCUGUACUUGGUGUUACUGCGAAGGGGGGACGGAGAAGGCUAUGUUAGCCGGGCGACGGUUGUCCCGGUUUAAGCAUGUAGGCUGGUUAUCCAGGCAAAUCCGGAUAAUCAAGGCUGAGGUGUGAUGACGAGGCACUACGGUGCUGAAGUAACAAAUGCCCUGCUUCCAGGAAAAGCCUCUAAGCAUCAGGUAACAUCAAAUCGUACCCCAAACCGACACAGGUGGUCAGGUAGAGAAUACCAAGGCGCUUGAGAGAACUCGGGUGAAGGAACUAGGCAAAAUGGUGCCGUAACUUCGGGAGAAGGCACGCUGGUGUGUAGGUGAAGUCCCUGCGGAUGGAGCUGAGACCAGUCGAAGAUACCAGCUGGCUGCAACUGUUUAUUAAAAACACAGCACUGUGCAAACACGAAAGUGGACGUAUACGGUGUGACGCCUGCCCGGUGCCGGAAGGUUAAUUGAUGGGGUUAUCCGUAAGGAGAAGCUCUUGAUCGAAGCCCCGGUAAACGGCGGCCGUAACUAUAACGGUCCUAAGGUAGCGAAAUUCCUUGUCGGGUAAGUUCCGACCUGCACGAAUGGCGUAAUGAUGGCCAGGCUGUCUCCACCCGAGACUCAGUGAAAUUGAACUCGCUGUGAAGAUGCAGUGUACCCGCGGCAAGACGGAAAGACCCCGUGAACCUUUACUAUAGCUUGACACUGAACAUUGAGCCUUGAUGUGUAGGAUAGGUGGGAGGCUUUGAAGCGUGGACGCCAGUCUGCGUGGAGCCAACCUUGAAAUACCACCCUUUAAUGUUUGAUGUUCUAACGUUGGCCCCUUACCGGGGUUGCGGACAGUGUCUGGUGGGUAGUUUGACUGGGGCGGUCUCCUCCCAAAGCGUAACGGAGGAGCACGAAGGUUAGCUAAUCCUGGUCGGACAUCAGGAGGUUAGUGCAAUGGCAUAAGCUAGCUUGACUGCGAGCGUGACGGCGCGAGCAGGUGCGAAAGCAGGUCAUAGUGAUCCGGUGGUUCUGAAUGGAAGGGCCAUCGCUCAACGGAUAAAAGGUACUCCGGGGAUAACAGGCUGAUACCGCCCAAGAGUUCAUAUCGACGGCGGUGUUUGGCACCUCGAUGUCGGCUCAUCACAUCCUGGGGCUGAAGUAGGUCCCAAGGGUAUGGCUGUUCGCCAUUUAAAGUGGUACGCGAGCUGGGUUUAGAACGUCGUGAGACAGUUCGGUCCCUAUCUGCCGUGGGCGCUGGAGAAUUGAGGGGGGCUGCUCCUAGUACGAGAGGACCGGAGUGGACGCAUCACUGGUGUUCGGGUUGUCAUGCCAAUGGCACUGCCCGGUAGCUAAAUGCGGAAGAGAUAAGUGCUGAAAGCAUCUAAGCACGAAACUUGCCCCGAGAUGAGUUCUCCCUGAGACUUUAAGUCUCCUGAAGGAACGUUGAAGACGACGACGUUGAUAGGCCGGGUGUGUAAGCGCAGCGAUGCGUUGAGCUAACCGGUACUAAUGAACCGUGAGGCUUAACCUUACAACGCCGAAG